GGUCCCGUAGCUCAGCUGGUUGGAGCGCCGGUCUUAUAAGCCGGAGGUCUUGAGUUCAACGGCCGCGUAAUCGGUCGGCGCUUAGGGCGAUUGCACCUUCGGUGCAGUCACCUGUCCGCUGCUGAUUCGGCAUGAAUAAAUCUCAACGGGGCCA
rnacentral:tRNA from 1 species